AGCUGACCGAGAACACAUGGUUCUGGCCAAGGAGUCAAGGGGCCUCCCGGGCUGGGAACCCAAGGUCAUCACAGACUCUCUGGGCAUCGCAGGGGAAAGGCACCAUCCAGGUGUCUCAAAGGAGCAGGGUGGCCAGGCAGGAGGGACGGCGGUGACCUGCAGUCGGAAGGGAGGCGCCCUGGACAGCGCAGGUUGUUUUGUAGUGAGACCAGAGGGACAACCCCAUGUAAACUCCACCCAAGAGUGAUGUCUUGGUUUUAUUUUAAUGUUUCUGACUGAUCUUGGAAAUCAAGGAUUUUUUUGAUGUGUGAUUGUGUGUGUGUCUGGGAUUGUGGUCUUGUGGAGCCGAAGAACGGAGACACAGACCAGAGAGGUAAAGUUGCAGAAAAGGACGUCUUAUUAGAAGAAAAAAAAUACCAUUUCAAAGAAAC